rnacentral:rRNA from 1 species
GAUGAACGCUGGCGGCGUGCCUAAUACAUGCAAGUCGAGCGAACAGACGAGGAGCUUGCUCCUCUGACGUUAGCGGCGGACGGGUGAGUAACACGUGGAUAACCUACCUAUAAGACUGGGAUAACUUCGGGAAACCGGAGCUAAUACCGGAUCAUAUAUUGAACCGCAUGGUUCAAUAGUGAAAGACGGUUUUGCUGUCACUUAUAGAUGGAUCCGCGCCGCAUUAGCUAGUUGGUAAGGUAACGGCUUACCAAGGCGACGAUGCGUAGCCGAUCUGAGAGGGUGAUCGGCCACACUGGAACUGAGACACGGUCCAGACUCCUACGGGAGGCAGCAGUAGGGAAUCUUCCGCAAUGGGCGAAAGCCUGACGGAGCAACGCCGCGUGAGUGAUGAAGGUCUUCGGAUCGUAAAACUCUUUUAUUAGGGAAGAACAAAUGUGUAAGUAACUAUGCACGUCUUGACGGUACCUAAUCAGAAAGCCACGGCUAACUACGUG